CACGUUGUCUGUCUUCUUCUGCCUUCUCUUUCCUUGGGGAGAACCGUGGCUGCACUGGGAAGUCAGUGCAACGUUUGCUGCCCUCGGGGGCCACCAGACUUCUGCCGUGGCUGUGCAGGGAGCAACGAAGGCGCGGACUAUCACAUAGAUCCGGGAACUGCUGCCCUACGGUUGUGGUUGUGACAGGAAUUCGAUCUUCCACUCUUCUGUGAAAUGCAGCCGCUACCCCAGUGCUCACCAUGCUCUGGAGACCCCGUAUUGGAGACCGGUCCCAAUGGGUCCGCGGGGAUCAGAGCCCAGUGCUCCUCUGACUUCACCUGCCGGCUGUUUGGCCACAAACAGAACAGGGGUGAGAUAAACCCUAACGUCUGUCCUUUUGCAAAACAGAAAUACAUAUCUGUGCGUUGUGUCGUUGCUGGUUUUUUGCAGGCUCACUGCCGUGUUGGCUGAGCAGCCCCGCUGGAGGCGAUGAAGAGACUGGCGUUUGCACCUAAAUGAAGGUUUGGUUGGCUCCAAACAGAAAACAAAGAGAAAACAAACCCAAGUUCUCUGCCAGCAGGGAAGGACAAGAAAGACGGUUACAGGAGCCACCAUUUGGAAAGUGCUGCAGUUGUGCAGUGAUUGAACAGGUCAGCGUGAAGACAUCCGUGCAAGAGAAACACAGAUGUAUUUGAAAUGUGGCCAGAGACAGGGUAUGCACAAAGAUAGCAUCAGAGCUGAAGUCACGUGGAUAAAGACCUAAGAGAGGAACCUUUGAAAAUUUACUCUCAUCAUACACCUAUACAUUUGAAUUUCUUUACACCAGGAAAAGAAAACCAAAACAGAAGCAAAGUACCUGCCACGCAGUGUCACCAGCUUGCUCGCACAAGUCCAUUGCAGUCCCCUCGUCUGCUGCAAACGUCUCGCCACCAGAGAGCACAUCAGAGCCAACAGUGACACUGCUGAUUCCAGCUGGCUGGAAAAAACACCUUCACCCUCCUUUGUGCUGCUUUCAGACAUGUGACCUUGCUUAAUUAAUUGAACUAAUUUUGUAGCUGGGGAUUGGCUUAUCAGGUGGUGCUUCAUCAACUGUCACCUUAGUGUUUUAAAUACAAAAAGACAGACCUUUUAAAUUAAUUUUAAAAACUAAAAAUUAAAUCCGAUGCUGUCCUUCAAGCAGCCAGCUGCGGUGGCUUGGAGGCUACUGUAGUACUUGUGGCUGCUAUAGCUGUAAUAUUUGCUCACGCUUUGCCUGCACAUGGGUGUGCAAGAGGGGACAGCUUUGUAAACUGUUCCUACAGCCAGUGGCUGCUCUUUCCUAACUCCAUCCAUCUAACCUACCCAUCACGGUCACUUUCUUUUGAUGCCUUUGUUCCCUGUGUCAGCUAGACACUAAGAAAUUUUCAUUAAGCAUGAGCAUAACGAGACUAUGAUUUAUGUCUUUCCAGCAUUAGGGCAUCAGCAAUCAGGGCAUCCUGGAAUCAAAUGCCACGGGAUCUGAGCAGGACUGUACCUCCCCUCCAGCCUCCCCUCCCUCCUCUUGUGUCAGGGACAGGUGCACCCAGCUGUGAGCUCUGAAAGAGGUGGAGCAAGGUGGGUAGAGGAGGAGGAGGAGGAGAACAAGCACAGAAGUGUCAUUCAGCUUAUGCAUUAUUCAUUAUUCGUGAAAGGCUGUAAACCAGACAGAUGAGCUGCAAAUACACAGUUCGUUCACUCACAUGAAAUGCUCCUCCAUCUUCAGCUAUUCCGUCUUGCUUCCAGGGGCCACACUGUGCAUAAUCAGCCUGCGGAUCAGGAGACUGGGUCCCUAAAUCUUUCAAGGGUUUAUUUUAUGUAGAAUUAGAAAUUACAGCUGCUCUACAAGGUUAGUAGUGUGCGCUGUCUUAGGCAUAAAUAAGUCUUCAGAGAAACAAAGAUACAAUGGCUUAUUGUUUUAAAAUCACACUGAAAGCAUGAAAUUUGGUAAUUUGCCAAGUCCAAUGUGAUGUAUUAAUCAAAAAAAUCCAAGAAAAGGGAGAAAUAAUUCUGGGCUAAUAUAACUCCAGGGGGGAGGGUAUCACUGGUACGUAACAGCAGUACAAUACUGGAAAGAAUUUCCUUUGCUUGCCCUAGAAUAAGCUUCUAUAGAUGUCAGAGAAAUGCACUUAUUUUAUAAUAUUCAUCUCAGGACCUGCAGACAUAAAGGUGUCUGAGAGAGAAGUCUGUCUAAUAAAGCUAGAGUAAGAAGAAAUCCAAUACGAGAAACAGUUGUUAAUCCAAAAUGAUAAAUACAUUUCUAUUCAUGAACUCCUGUGAGAAAGGAAAAUUAGGAAAAUUAACGUUCUGGCUAACUUUUCAAUGCCCUUCCUUUAACAUCUAUCAUCUUAGCAUAUGGAAUUUUGCAAGGAGUUUUAACGAUGUAACAAUAAUUCUCGUCAUCCUUCCUGCAAGACAUGUAUUUGCUUUGUGGCCCUGAGGUGCGUGCGUGAGGUACAACAAUGUACUUCGCGUCAGAAUGGAAUGCCAUAUCCACAGUAACCUGCAGCACUUAAAUGACACAGGCAUCAUGUGCAGUAGUAUGCCUUUUAGGACACUAUCAGUGCAUCUAAUAGCUAGCAAAUAAUUACAGUCCUUGCAGCAAGAUGUGGACAUUUGAUGGGUUUUGAAAUUAUAUUUUUCUUUAUACUGAGGUGGAAUUAAAAAAGGAAGAGUAGAGUGAAUAAGUAUUUCUUCAGAGCAUGUCAGAAGAAACCAUGAAGGCUCUUUGCUGUAGACUUUUCCUGUGUAUAUACAAGCCCAAGUGUGCUGCAAACACCUUACCAGUAGAUUUAGCACAUCGACCUGUACCAAGGACAUUAGAAGAAUCAAGGCCAAGGGUGUUGACUUCGACUUGGGUACUUCUAGCACCAAGAGGGCAAUAAUGGUAACUACAUACAAUCAGCGUGCAGUUCUUUACCCCUUUUUUACCUUUAUUUCUUUACCCUUUACUACAACGGGUAAAGAAAUGCUUUGGGCUGAUCAUAGUGUCCUCUGCUUCCUUAGGGUUACAGCUGUCACAGAUGAUGGUCUCACUUGAUUGUAGGCCCCCAUCAAAGAAGCGGCAACAUGGCAUCCGUGGGGAAACUGGGGCUCCGUUGUGCCAUGCUGGUCUGUUGCAGUGAUCUGUAGGGCGGCUAUUACUGAAAUGCAAGUGUUGAGAUGUAGUUAAGCAGGAAACUAGCCUGGAGGUCAUCAGAGUCUCACCAUAGAUCAGGUGUAAUAGGUUCUUAUGACCACCUCAAAGUGGUGCACUGGAGUCUGGAAUUUAUUGUGACACAUUAAAACCAAAAUAAAGUUGUUUCCCUGGGGAGAUUCUUGGUCCUGGAUCACUACUGACUGCCAAAACUGUUGAAGGAAUGAAGAGAAAACCAAAGAGCUUUCCUGCAGCCUCCUUAGACUCCAAUUGCUCAUUGUGACAUUUCAAAGCCAAAAUCCUAGCUAUUACAGUUGAGUCGUUCAGCUUCUUCACAAAACACGGUUAUCACUAGACUUGCUUUUGAAAGCUGCUGUAUUAUGAAAAAUAGAGAAACCAACUUUCCUUCUGUUCCAGAGCAACAAAAAAAUCUGUUUCUGAAAUCUGAAAAUUUAGGAACAAAGUGGAAACAGAUGUCAUGUGCAUACAAAAUGAGCUCCCAACCAAAAUAUCAUGAAAAAUAAGUGAAUUGCUAGGAAAACAUAGAUAUUCCUAAAUAUUUGCAGCUUCCAGGCAUCAGCAAACACAAUAUAGCAGAUUCAUGGAGAACUUUCUUUCUACACAAAAUAAGUGGACAAGCCAAAAAUUACUAAGAGGUAGCAAUCUUCAGUUGAGUGACGGUCAAGCAGAAACAAGCUCCCCUGGUGCUUGUGGACUGAUAUUAGCUGGCAGUCAGAGUCUGGAACAGGAGGAGCAGCUAGGAGACUUGUCGACCUGUGGUUCAGACCUUGUGGAGCUCUGGCCAUGACUAGGGUUGAGA